UUUUGGAGAAUACGGUAUGUAAAUAUAAGGUAGAUACUGUGGUAAGGAAUAUGGUAAAGCUUAUGGUGGAGAUGGUGAGUCUAUGUUGGAGACAAUUAUUUCAUAAUGAGACAGUGCAGACAAUGAGCAUAGGGUGAAGAAAGCGAGAUUUUGGUAAAGAUGAUGAGACGUGAUGAACACAAUUAACAAUGGUGAACUUAGUGAGAUAUGGUGAAGACAAUGAACUUUAGUGACUACAGUGUGAUAAAGUGAAGACAAUGAACUAUGGUGAGAUGGCGAAAAUAGUGGACUAUGGUGACGACAGUGAGAUAAAGUGAAGACAGCAAAUGGUGAAUAAAUACAGUGAGCCCGUGGCAUACAUAAUACAGAAAACUUAUGAAUGUGUAAUCAUAAUUAGCAAAACUGUAACCAUGAUUAUUUAUUUUAUUUGCUGCAAGACGCAAAUUGAAAAAGCCUUCCUCGUGACUGAUAAUUCAUCAAGGUGAUGGCAUAAUAAUCAAACUCUACUGAUUAUUGUAUUUUAAUAAAGCCAUACUGAUUAUAAUAUAUUGAUCAAGCUCCACGGAUUAUAGUAUAUUGAUCAAGCUUCACUGAUUAAUUUAUAUUAAUCAAGCUCCAAUGAUUAAUUUAUAUCGAUCAUGCUCCAAUGAUCAUUGUAGCUAUAUAAACCAACCAAUCAACUCAACGUCGUCAAUUCAAUACAAUAAAGUUCGCAAUCCUAGCAUUUUGCCAACCAUGGAAUAGCUAGAUAUACCAUCUAAAUACACUUACUCCACAUCGUUGUAAA